CUCAGUUCGGACUGGAGUCUGCAACCCGACUCCACGAAGCUGGAUUCGCUAGUAAUCGCGCAUCAGCCACGGCGCGGUGAAUACGUUCCCGGGCCUUGUACACACCGCCCGUCAAGCCAUGGGAGCCGGGGGGUACCUGAAGUGCGUAACCGCGAGGAGCGCCCUAGGGUAAAACUGGUGACUGGGGCUAAGUCGUAACAAGGUAAC
rnacentral:rRNA from 1 species